rnacentral:lncRNA from 1 species
CAUCCAUAAAACACCACGGCGGUAGGAGGAUGCUGAGCUCCUGAGACGACUCAGAGGAUGGGGCCGGACGUCAGGCCGGGCUGCACACCUCCCGGGCGAUGCGGAAAGCGCUAACUGCCAGAGGAGAAGCCGAAGGCAUUUGGUCAGCAUGGACCUCAGGCCGGACUGCAGGGAAGCCACCGUGGAGCCCAGGGGGCCGGCCGCAGGCUGUGCGCCCAGUCACCGCCUCAUGAGCCUCGCCCGGCUUUCCAGGCAGGGGCUGAUCAGCCACCCGCAGGGAUCAGGCACCGACGACCCUAGAGUCCGUUCCACUUGCAGACGUCAGGAUGGGAACCGGCCACCUCUGCUGAACACCUGUGCCUGGCUCUCUGCCACACUGUUUCCCGUUCCCGGCGCAUCCCGUCCCCAUGACAACCCCGUGGGUCGUGCACGGUGAUUCGCACAGAGCAGAGAGAGCAGGGCUCCGGGAGGAAGACGGCCCAGGGCCGGUGCUGGCUUGGGAACAAGGUCCUCCCAUAGACGCCCGCGUACUGCAUCAGGCGGAGCAAAGGACGUCGUGGGUGCUUCCCUGUCGCGGGCACACACCGUUUGUAUGUGACACGCCCCCAGCCCAGGUGCACGACGCAGCUCUGUGUGUCUCCCAAUCUCACCCUCAACAUCUCAGUUUCCAGUCUGUGUUGGAAGUCCUGUGUGAUUUCGGGGCUUCCUGCCUCUUGUGAGCCUGGCUUUCUGGGCAGAGUGCAUCAUCAGACUGUGAGAAUCGCACUCUGUUAACUACAAGAACCAUGAUUCUUAGACUGAGUUAAUUAGACUAUCUCUAUGCAGGGCCCCCCCCCCCCAAAUAUUUCGCAUCACAGUACCUAAACCCCCAUCUGAAUUCAGACACGUGACCGUAGGUUUUGUAAAUGUGUAAUUAUAUUUCUGGAAAGCUACGGCCCUCCAGGGUCCCUUCUCUAACCCCCUCUCAACCUACUAUUCAGGAGUAAGCCUGCUUCCGUGGUCGGUAAGCCACUGCGACUCUUUUCCCAUUCUUUCAGAGGAAACUGUCUCCAUCUCUCAACUCGCCGGUUAAGAUGUCUGACACUAUUCUUUGCUAGAAACGUCUCAGUAAAAAAUAGUAGAACAUCGCAAAUGGUUUUCACUGGGCAUGAGAGGGAUUGUCACACUCCGACAAUGGAGUGGAGGUUAUUAGGAUAAGACAUUUAGAAGGUCUUUGAAUAAUGGGAGGCAAAGCCUCAAAAAUGCCCAAACUUGGGUUCAUGAAGCAUAACUCGCUCCAUACAGCGGUACGGUAUGCAGCCCAGAAGAUUUAUAUAGUUCUCUGUUAAAUUAUGAGGAAGAUGUCCAUGAUACGUUACGGGAAAAGAAGUUAGAGGUGAACACGUAUAGUUAUACUAUAU